AAUUUGUACGUGCAACUAGACUUCUCCCGGGAAUUUAAGACUCAGACAUCCAACUGCAUUCUGAAGUCUCCUGCCUGAAGUUCGCACAGAUACCACGAGAAGAAGAUGCUUAAUGUGGAAGUCAUCAUGUCCUCCCCACAAUGGCACCCCGCCAGUCUGCUCUACUUUGACUCCUACUACUCUGACCCUAAAGGAGCAUCUCCAACAUACGUCAGUAAAAUUGCUUUGGUUUACUGUUGCCUGGAAGAACCAAGGACUUGCAGAGUACACAAGGCUUUUCCUGCAGAAGAGAAAAAUACAAAUGCCACUUCCCAGCCUAACUCACAGAGCGUGGUGUCAGAGAAAAGAGAAAAUUGAGAAAAUACUUGGACUUCAAAGAGUUUAGGGGAGGAAUGGCUUCCCCUCUCCCAGACAUGUGUUUUCCACAUCUGAUAGUGUAACAUUCCUGGCUGCCUUCCACCAUUCAUUCGCUCCACUUUGGGGAAGAGGAGUGACUUACCUGCUGAUUUUGGAAGAGUGACAGGGCCUCUGCAGCCCUGCCCCCACCACUCUGCCUCUUGGAAAUGGCCACCAGCCAGGUGGGGAGAGUCUGUGCUCCGAACGGCUCGGGGCCUUAAAGUGAGCCCUAGUGAGACAGGCCCUACUCCACAUCUGGAAGCCUGGGUACCUAAUCUUUCGGAUUCCGUGAUUCAAUAGCAGGAGACCUAGGGUCUGCAAAUAGAAGCCACUUUCUCCGGCACCAGCUUUAACUGUGAUAAAGGUGAUGUUCACUAUCAUCUACCUUAUUUAGCCUUUUGUCUUGUUUAUCAGUUGGGCUGGACUGGGGGCAGGCAGAGUGGGUGCUAGUUAUUUUUCCCCCAGCUUCACUGAGGUGGAAUUGACAUAGAGCAACGUGGGAGUGUCGGGCGUCCAAAGUGUUGAUCUGACAUGCUUACAUAUUACGCAAUGAUUACCACUAUAGCCUUAGCUGAUACCUCCAUCGUGUCACAUAACCACCGUCUCUUUUUUGUGGUGAGAACAUUGGAGGUCUAUUCUCUUAACAACUUUCAAGUGUAUAAUACGGUUUUAUUAGCUAUUAUCACCAGGAUAUACACCAGAUCCCUCGAACUUACUCAUCUUAUAACUGGAAAUUUGUGUAUCCUCUGCCCAACAGCAGGGGACACCACUUCUCCCUCAAACGAUACCCAACGUUGCUCCUGCCCUACCAGAUGCAAGAGUGACAUCUGGGUCCUUUGGGGAUGUAUUAAGCCUAACCAUCACCAUUCUUAUAUCCUCCUCUGGGACCCAGAGAAUGGGUUAUGGGACGGGGAUAUCCCUCCAUAUUACAUAUUCACCCCGUGAGCCUCCCACUGCUCACCCCAAACGCCAAUCCACUGUUAAGACACCACCAUCGUAAGACUCAUCCAAACACCAGAGCAAACAACCCCUGACUUAAGCUUGGUUUAACUAUCUUUUCCUUGUUUUUCACAAUACAUUUUAUUUCUUGGAGCAUUUUUAGGUUCACAGCAACACUGAGCUGAAAGCACAGAAAGUUCCCAUGUACCUUCCCUGCCCCCCCUCCAUGGCUUCCCCCCCACUAUCAAUAUCUAGCAUCAGGGUGAUACGUGCCUUGCAAUCCAUGAGCCUACACUGACAUGUCCUUAUCACCUCCUGGUUUACACUAAGAUCCACUCUUGGUGUUGUACAUUCCAUGGAUUUGGACAAACGUACAGUGACAUGUAUCCGUCACUGUGUAUGGUAUUAUAUGGAGUAUUUUCACUGCCCUAAAAAUCCUGUGUGCUGCCUGUUCAUCCACCCCCGGCAACUACUGAUCUUUGACUGUCUCCAGAGUGUUGCCUUUUCCAGAAUGUCACAGAGUUGGAACCAUACAGUAUACAGCCCCUUUAGAUUGGUUUCUGUCACUAAGUAACAUGCAUUCAAGGUUCCUUCAUAUCUUUGCCUGGCUUGAUAGCUUAUUUCUUUUUAGCACUGAUAAUAUUCUAGAUGUUACAGUUUAUUUAUCCACUCACCUACCGAAGGACGUCUUGGUGGCCUGCAAGUUUUGGCCAUUAGGAAUAAAGCUGCCGUAAACAUCUGUGUAUAGGGUUGUUUUGUAGACAUAAGUUUCCAACUCCUUUGGCUGAACACCAAGGAGGGCCCUUGCUGGACUGCGUGGUACCAUUAAUGUUUAGUUUUGUAAGAAUCUGCCAAACCAUCUUCCAAAUGGUUGCACCGUUUUACGUUCCUACCAGUAAUGAAUGAGCGUCUCUGUCGCUCCACACCCUUGCCAGCAUUUGGCAUUGUCAGUGUUUUGGAUUUGGGCCAUUCUAAUGGGUGGGUGGCGAUGUUUUAGCUAUGUAUGUAUUCAUUCAAGACACAUCGUGUUGGUGUCUCCCGCGACCCAGGCUACACAGUAGUAGUCAGACAGCUUAACGCGACUCAUGCAGACCCCAGACUCAGGCCCAGCUCAGUGAAUGUGGACUGACUUUAAUUUGCUGAUCAUGCCAGCAGCCAAUCAAGAUGUUUUGUGAGCCAUUAUAACCGGCACUCUGUUUUGCUUUUUGGUUGCUGCCUGGAUUUCCUUUCUUUACUACCAAAAUAAAGUGUGCUUUUAAUGCCGCCCUCUAGAAGCCCGAGAGUUUACGGUACUGAUUCAUUUAAAUGGAAAGAAGAGAUCUGAGCAGUACAAACAGGGAGUUUAACACGGCUCUGUGGCCGAUUGCCAGGAAAUUCUUGGGCACUCUGGAACUUUAAGAAAAAUCUAUUGUGUUCUGAAGCUUCGGAGACAAUCCAGGGGCAAGGGAGGAGGGAGCCCCUGGAGGUUUAACAUUGUUUAGGGAUUAAAACACUGCUGUUGGCUUCCUGCAUUGUUAUUUGAAAACAAACCAAACAUCACACCUCCUAAAAGUCCAGAUCCACUCUUGUGAGGAUUUAUUGCUGCUGAGCACCUCUCAUGCCUCACAGCCGAGAGCAUAGGGCUUUCCCCAGGAUACGGGAUUUACAAAUAGGGCUUUCUCCAGGAUAUGCGAUUUACGGCUUGGUUCUGCAGAGUCGCAAACUGGACGGUGAAGCCAUUGUGGAGUGUUCUGUGCUUUUGGGGAACACCCGCAUCGAAUCCCUCUACGACAUUCGUGUCGCGGGCUUAGGUGAGCUGAGUAUCGCCUCCUGACUCAGAACGGUACAGAGUCUCCCGAGGAAAAUGUCAAAACGCCAGAGUCAGCUGUCUCU